AUUGAACGCUGGCGGCAGGCCUAACACAUGCAAGUCGAACGAGUGGCGGACGGGUGAGUAAUGUCUGGGAAACUGCCUGAUGGAGGGGGAUAACUACUGGAAAAGGUAGCUAAUACCGCAUACCCUCAGUUGUGGCCAUAUGGGAUGGGCGUGUGGGUGGGGGAACGGCUCACCAGGGCGACGAUCCCUAGCUGGUCUGAGAGGAUGACCAGCCACAUUGGAACUGAGACACGGUCCAGCUGCCUACGUGAGGAAGCAGUGGGGAAUAUUGGACAAUGGGCGCAAGCCUGAUGCAGCCAUGCCGAGUGGAUGUAGAAGGCCUUCGGGUUGUAAAGUACUUUCAGCGGGGAGGCGUUACCCGCAGAAAAAGCACCGGCUAACUCCGUGCCAGCAGCCGCGGUAAUUC
rnacentral:rRNA from 1 species